rnacentral:rRNA from 1 species
CCUACGGGAGGCAGCAGUGGGGAAUAUUGCACAAUGGGGGAAACCCUGAUGCAGCGACGCCGCGUGAGUGAAGAAGUAUUUCGGUAUGUAAAGCUCUAUCAGCAGGGAAGAUAAUGACGGUACCUGACUAAGAAGCCCCGGCUAACUACGUGCCAGCAGCCGCGGUAAUACGUAGGGGGCAAGCGUUAUCCGGAUUUACUGGGUGUAAAGGGUGCGUAGGUGGCAGGGCAAGUCAGAUGUGAAAGCCCGGGGCUCAACCCCGGUACUGCAUUUGAAACUGUCCAGCUGGAGUGCAGGAGAGGUAAGCGGAAUUCCUAGUGUAGCGGUGAAAUGCGUAGAUAUCAAGAGGAAUACUCAUUGCGAAGGCGACCUACUGGAACAUUACUGACGCUCAUGCACGAAAGCGUGGGGAGCAAACAGGAUUAGAUACCCGGGUAGUC